ACGCUCGACACCUACGGGAGGCUGCAGUGGGGAAUAUUGGGCAAUGGGCGCAAGCCUGACCCAGCAACGCCGCGUGAAGGAAGAAGGCCCUCGGGUUGUAAACUUCUUUUGACAGGGACGAAGAAAAUGACGGUACCUGUCGAAUAAGCCGCGGCUAACUACGUGCCAGCAGCCGCGGUAAUCUGAGCGGGCUGGCAAGGC
rnacentral:rRNA from 1 species